ACAUUAAUUUCCCCGAAUUGAAAGCGCCAGGCGCGCUCUGAGAACUUUGGAGAAGUUGUGUCUUUUUUUUUCCCCCUCUUCCCUGUGACGCGGUGGUGAAUCGUCUUAGCUGAUAGUAUCUGGGCUGUUUAAAGGUUCCCUUGUUGAAUAGGAGACACAAAGAAGAUGAAAUCCCUUUUGGUCACUGCUAUCAUUACUGCCUUUGUUCUGGCUUUGUUCCUCCAUUCAGGAAGUGCUUUAGUGUGCUACAAUUGUGAAUCUGCUAUGUGUAACAAAACUAUGACCUGCACAGUCGACCAAAAUACUUGCAUAACAGUACAUUAUGGUG